AUGUUACUUAACCAGAAUUAAGACAUUCUUUAUUCCCAGUCAUACCUACCUCCCUCCAAAGGAAAUCAUAUCUAAGACACAGCCUAAUCACUCUGGGCUAAGAUGAACACAGUUCAGGAAAGAUUAGAUGAAUAAAUGUUAAUCAAGAACCACAAGUUUGGCAUUAUAUGUGGCUCUGUUGUUAUCCCAGCCCACCCUCCCUUAUAUGCAGCAUGGGACAAAGGGAAAGAGCGAGCUGUCUGGGUGCUGUGCAGCCUCCCCUUCCAGUGAGCCCAAGUUCCUAACCCAUUAUUUUUAACAGUGCAGCUGCUUUGUACAUUUUUGUGUGUGCAGUCCUAGGCUGUUCUCCCCCGUUGAAAGGAUAGGAGAAAGGAGUAAGAAUAGCCCUUAUGAAAAAUAAUCCAGCCUUAUCAGCUAGUAUAAAGCUGUGCCUGCUAACUCCACUGCAGGACGUUCAACCCCUCGCUGUGGCUGAUUAUGUAAAACACUCCCUUUCCUGACAUGUGCAUGCCUAUCUAUUCAAAUUCUUGUAAACUUAACACUAUCUACAUAUCCACACAAUAAAAGCCCUUCUUGUGGUAUUUAAACAACUUGUCUGAUCUUUUCUGAUUAACUGUGGAUUUCUGCAAAGUUAGCUGAACUUUUCUUUCUAUACAAGAGACAGCCUGGUUAUGUUGCAGCCUGAGUAUCAGGAGAGCACGCUGAAAUCCCUCCUCCUCCACCAAUCAUCUCCUUUAUGACUUUGAGAAUUCACACAUACAUGGUGUGUAUCAGUUUGUGAUCUACAGGGUGAAGGUUUUAGUUUAGCCUGCCCUCGGUACUAUAUGUAGCACUAUUAUCACCCUAGCAGCUCUGUACGCCAGCAAAAGAAGGUCAGCCGAGAGCAAGGGGUUGGAGCAUCUCCCAGGGCCUGGCUGGGCUGUAUUACUAGCACUUCUUUGGGCAAAUAUGCAAAGUUUAAUGAAGCCAGUGGAAAAAUUCCCACCGGCUUUGGUUAGCUUUGGAUCCAGCUAUAAAUUAGAUUUGGACAACUGCCUAAUUCUCAAUGCCUGUGUCCUGCAAGAGAGAGGAAAGAGGGAAAGAAGAAAGAAAGAAGAGGAAAAGAAGGAGGAAACAGGAUUAAAAACAAAACUUCCCAAAUAAAUGU